rnacentral:ncRNA from 1 species
UCCCCCGAAGGUAAAAACACGGCCCCGUCGGGUAGUCGGGGUGCGGCCGCCCUCCUGCGUCGUGCCGUCAGUAACCUGCCUCCUUGGUUGUCCCUCCUUCAGGUUCGUCAU